UUCCGGUUGAUCCUGCCGGACCCCACUGCUAUCGGGAUGGGACUAAGACAUGCUAGUCGUGCGUCUCUAAGCCAUGGUGGAGGCGCGGCGCACAGCUCAGUAACACGUGGCUAACCUGCCCUUGGGACAGGGACAACCCCGGGAAACUGGGGCUAAUCCCUGAUAGGUGAGGACUCCUGGAAUGGAUCCUCGCUCGAAAGGGUGUCUAGACCAUGCUUCUAGGCGCUGCCCAAGGAUGGGGCCGCGGCCGAUCAGGUUGUUGGUGAGGUAACGGCUCACCAAGCCUUUAACCGGUACGGGCCGUGAGAGCGGGAGCCCGGAGAUGGGCACUGAGACAAGGGCCCAGGCCCUACGGGGCGCAGCAGUCGCGAAAACUCCGCAAUACGCGAAAGCGUGACGGGGUCAUCCCGAGUGCCAUCCGCUGAGGAUGGCUUUUCCCCAGUGUAUAAAGCUGGGGGAAUAAGGAGAGGGCAAGCCUGGUGUCAGCCGCCGCGGUAGUACCAGCUCUCCGAGUGGUGGGGAUGUUUAUUGGGCCUAAAGCAUUCGUAGCUGGCUGGGCAAGUCCUCCGUUAAAUCCAGCGAUUCAAUCGUUGGACUGCGGGGGAUACUGUCCGGCUAGGGGGCGGGAGAGGCCGGCGGUAUUCUCGGGGUAGGGGUGAAAUCCUAUAAUCCCGGGAGGACCACCAGUGGCGAAGGCUGUCGGCUAGAACGCGCCCGACGGUGAGGGAUGAAAGCUGGGGGAGCGAACCGGAUUAGAUACCCGGGUAGUCCCAGCUGUAAACGAUGCAGGCUAGGUGUUGGCGCGGCUACGUGCCGCUCCGGUGCCGCAGAGAAGUCGUUAAGCCUGCCGCCUGGGAAGUACGGCCGCAAGGCUGAAACU
rnacentral:rRNA from 1 species